rnacentral:rRNA from 1 species
UACGGAGGGUGCGAGCGUUGUCCGGAAUCACUGGGCGUAAAGGGCGCGUAGGCGGCCUGCUAAGUCGAACGUGAAAUCCCCGAGCUCAACUCGGGAACUGCGUCCGAUACUGACAGGCUUGAAUCCGGGAGAGGGAUGCGGAAUUCCAGGUGUAGCGGUGAAAUGCGUAGAUAUCUGGAGGAACACCGGUGGCGAAGGCGGCAUCCUGGACCAAUAUUGACGCUGAGGAGCGAAAGCCAGGGGAGCAAACGGG